CCCACUCGAGCCCUACACUUUAUAAACCCGCCUCUUUUUUCCAUUCUUCAUCUCUUUCACUUUGUAGGUUUUCUUUCUCUCUAUACAAACUAUCCACUCAAAAACAAGCUUCCAUUGUCAAACUUUUGCUCUAAAUCAAAGCUUUGAAGCCAUCAAAUCAUCUUCCACUCAUUCAAUAGCCAAUUUUUUUUGUAGAAAAUUCAAGUAAGUGGUUUUGUUCCUUGAUGAUUUUCUCUUUGGUAGAUUUUGAUAUUGAAAAAGAGUUUGUGGUUGUUGAUUAGUGGCUUUGUGACAAGUUUGAGAUUAUGAUAUGUGUGCUUGCAAAUUACUUCUUCUCAAUUGAUUAUUGUGAAGAUUUGAUGCCAGGAAGUUAUGAGUAAAUAAAAAUUUCUGCAUUUGAAUAGUAACUUGUGGAAUUAAGAGGAUUUGUGCACUAGUGAAUUGGGUAAAAAUAUUUAUAGAUAGAGGUGAGAAAGCUACUACAUUUUUUUGUGGAAACUUGUGUUUAAAUUGCUACAAAUUUGUUAACUUUUUAUGGCACCCAAAAAAAUAGUUAGAGGUCGUGGAAGUAGGACUCUUUUCAAUCAAAGUAAGUUUGUUUCUGCUGACACUGCUACAAGGCAUUCGCAGUCCUUGUUGCAAAAAUUCCCUAUUCUGAAGCGAGGUAUUGAUUUUCAUCCUAGACUUUAUGGUUAUGUUCAUAAGAUUAUUAAUAAGCAUCAAUGGGAAAAUUUUGUGAGCAACCUGAGGCGACAGUAUUGCUUGUUGUUUGAGAAUUUUAUGUCAAUGCCGUUGAACAUGAGAAUGGGCAAGUUUUUGUCCAAAGGUAUUAGGUAUGCUUUAACAAUCAAACAAUUAACCAAUUUUAUAACUUACCUAAUAUUUGGUUGCUUUGCAACUAGGGUAAAGAAUGGAAAUGACUAAGGGUGUGCCAUUGUAUUUUAAAGCCAAUACCAUGAAAAAUGAUUAUAAGUUAUGGUAUCACUUUUUGGCAGCAAGAUUACUCUUUACGAAGUAUUUUAGUGACAUGACAAAAGACAAAGCCAUUUUACUUUAUGUAAUUGUUUCAAGGACGUCAAUCAAUGUGGGUCAAUUAGUGUUCAAUAGUAUUGUUCAAGCUACUCACUCACCCUAUGAUGGACUUUGGUAUCCAUCCUUAAUCACGACUUUGUGCAAAAAGUGGGAGUGAUUUGGGAAAUGAGUGAAGUAAUUUUGCAUCCCAAAGUCCCUCUAGAUGUAGGAAUUAUACGUAGGUUUUAUACUCGUGGGCAUUCAACUGCUAGAGGAAGUUCUUCAUUAGCUUCACGCCAUCCACCAUUGCAGCAACAUCCUCAACAUUUUUCCAUGUCUUAGAGAAUGGAAAGGCUUGAGCUUCUCAUGGACCAUCAUGAUGUGUGUAUGCAAUCAAUUGAGCAGAUGAUGAUAGCUUAUGAUGAACAUGUUGGCAUGGACAUGGCCUCUUUUCCUACACUGCCAUAUGAUCCCACCAUGGUGGACUAGAAUAAAGAUGAGGAGAAGGAUGACUAGUAGUGUUUGUUCGCGAGUCAGGGGAGUAUUCCUUUUCUUUACUUUUACUAACAUUAAGGACAAUGUUAUCUUUAAGUUUGAGGUAAAUUUUUAAUUUUUACGCUUUGUUUUCUUUAUUUUGCAGUUAUAUUUUUUAGAUCUUAAGUUUAGUUAAGUUAUUUAUCAGUUAAUUUGUUGCAUGUUUUAAGAACUUGAACUAGAUUUAAUUGUGCCACUUUCUUUAAUCUACCUAUCCAAUGAUGAGAAUCUAAUUAUAUUCUUAUCUUGAUUCUUUGAAACCUGUGAAUAUUGUUUGAGUAAUAUGUAAAUUCUUAUGCUAAGAUUCAUUUUUGGGAUGUGAUUUCUACUUAAUUUGAGCAUCGUGUCUUUUGCUUAGAUUCAUUGUGCAUAUUUAGAGAAGGUUUAUGUAAAUGUAAGAUCUUGAAUUAUGUAUUGAGUUCUAAAAUUUGUUAGAUUCUCUCUCAAGGUAAAAUCUUAGGUUAUACUUAGUUAAAAAAAUGAUUUAGACCAUCUUUGAACUGAUUGAGCUUUUCGAGCCACCUUGUUAUAUAAUUAUCCUUAGAAUACCCCUUUGAGCCUAAUGUAACCUUCUCUUUGUUUAAGCACUUAAUUAUUAGCCUAAACCCUUAUAUAAAAAUUUCCAACUUGUUACAUCUCUUACUCCUAAGUGUAUAAGUCAAUUUAGGAAGUGUAAAGCUAGAUAGUGAAGAAGAUAGUAAAAGUGAAAAGUGAUUAAAAAUUUAAAAGCAUGAUUGUAUUCAUCUAACUACCCAAUAAAAUAAAUAAUUUUGGGGUUGUGUUAUUGAGAAAAAGAAAAAGAAUAAGGGAAGAAAAAGUGUUGAGCAAAAGAAAAUUUUAAUGAAAAAUGGGUGUACUUGGUGAAGGAAAAUAAAGCUCUUUAUAGGUUUUAGAAUGACUAUAUGCUUAGGGUGAUUUGAGCCACAUUAAUAUUCCAUAUCCUAUCUUGAUCCUAGCUAUAUAUUACAAGCUUGAUAAAGACCUAAUAAUCCUUAACUUAGUAUUAGCCCACAUUAGUGGAGAGAGAAAUGAAAAGCAAACUUAUGGUACUCUAGUACUAAUUUGAAUUUUGCAUACAUAUAAACUUAUUCGGACUGUAUGAUGUUCUUCACAAAAAAAUUACACACACACAUUGAAAUCCAUUUUAUGAUAAGCUUGCAUUUGAAUUGAAACCCAAUUUUAAAUAAUAUUUAUUUGUUACUUAGAGUUGAGAAUAGGGAUUAACUUAUGAGGAUAUUAAAGGUGAUUAUUGAGUUGCUGCAAUUUAUUUCUAGUUAAGUUGUUUUCUUCAUUUAUGUUAUUGCAUUUUAGUUUAUGUUUUACUUAAGGACUAGCAAAAUCUUAAGUUUGGGGGUGUGAUAACUCUAUUAUAUAAAGUUAUUUUGUCACAUUUUGUGGGUUUAAAUAGCUAAGUUUUUUAGAUUUCUUGGUUUGGAAAUUAAGUAUAUUAGUUAUUUUUCUUAAUUUAGUUUAAUAGAUGUUAAUUAGUUUACUUUAAGUUAGUUUAGUUUAAUUUUAUGUUAUUUUACUUUUAAUUACUUUAAGUUUAAUUAUUAUUGAUCUCUUUCAUUGUUUUGUAAGAAAUUUGAUGAAAUGACCUUAAUUGAUGAAAAUCCGUGCAAAUAUGGUGAUGGCUUUGUUCGUACAUACUGCAGUAUUUCGAGUAUCACUUGAGAUACAGAAAUCCAAGUAAUGUGAUUUUUAAGCCAUUAGAAAGCUAAGAGAUAGGACUACAAUUUUCAUAUUUACCACUUUACCCAGUUUGGAUUUGAUCAAGGUGAAAAUCACAUUAGAAAAAGCUAGAUUACUGUAGGUCUACACGAGACAACUGUAGGUCUACACGAGACAACAUGUGAAUGAAUGAAAGUUGUGGCCUUGAAUUGCUCAAGGUUACGGACCAAGAUGCAUCAGAGCCCCAUAGUAGGACCCGAGAGCACAACGUUGUGGCACUAGUGAACGGAGACCGUGACGUUGGUUGAAGAAUGAAGCAUCAUACUAAAACGCAAAAACAUGGCACCUCGAUGCCAAGAAAGGCUAGGUUGUUGUGCCAGACAAACUUCCAAAAAUAUGCUUUGAUGGGAUUUUUAAAACUAAGGCUUUUGGAGAGUAUUUAAGGGGCCUUUUUCAGAAGUUUGGGAAAAAAGAUAACAAGCAAUUAUUCUGGAGAAAAAAAGCCACAAACAAAGCAAGAAAGUAAGAGAAUUUGAGGGAGAAUUAAGAUAAAAGAGCUUCAAAAUAUUAGUUUCUAUCUCUACUUUUGUUUUUUUUUUUUCAUUUUCUUUAACUUGGAUUAAUAGUUAAUUUUCUUUGAAUGGUGUCUUUAGUCAAUAUUAUGAGCUAAUUUACUUUUUCUAGGAUUAUGAUGGAACUUAAUAUGUAAUUUGGAUUUUUAAUUUCUCUUUAGCUUAUUUUUAAUGGAAUAUGAGUUGUUUUUUCCAA
rnacentral:lncRNA from 1 species